rnacentral:rRNA from 1 species
CCUACGGUGGGCAGCAGUGGGGAAUAUUGGACAAUGGGCGAAAGCCUGAUCCAGCCAUGCCGCGUGUGUGAAGAAGGCCUUCGGGUUGUAAAGCACUUUCAGUGGGGAAGAAAGCCUUGGGGCUAAUACCCUCGAGGAAGGACAUCACCCACAGAAGAAGCACCGGCUAACUCCGUGCCAGCAGCCGCGGUAAUACGGAGGGUGCGAGCGUUAAUCGGAAUUACUGGGCGUAAAGCGCGCGUAGGCGGUCUGAUAAGCCGGUUGUGAAAGCCCCGGGCUCAACCUGGGAACGGCAUCCGGAACUGUCAGGCUAGAGUGCAGGAGAGGAAGGUAGAAUUCCCGGUGUAGCGGUGAAAUGCGUAGAGAUCGGGAGGAAUACCAGUGGCGAAGGCGGCCUUCUGGACUGACACUGACGCUGAGGUGCGAAAGCGUGGGUAGCAAACAGGAUUAGAUACCCUGGUAGUC